rnacentral:lncRNA from 10 species
GAGUCUCGCUUUGUCGCCCAGGCUGGAGUGCAGUGGCGCCAUCUCGGCUCACUGAAAGCUCUGACUCCCGGGUUCACACCAUUCUCCUGCCUCAGUCUCCCGAGUAGCUAGGACUACAGGCAGAAGAAUCUCUUGAACCCAAGAGGCACAGGUUGCAGUGAACCAAGAUUAUGCCACUGCACUCUAGCCUGGGCAACAGAGCAAGACUCCAUCUCAAAAAAAAAAAAAAAUUGCAGGGCAGAGCCUUCUUAUAAGACUUUUAGAGAAAGGAGAAAAGGCAGUCAGGGGAUAGAGAUGUACUUUUGAAAAGUAACCAUUAGAACAGUUAGGAUAUAGAGUAAGGAUAUCAGCAAAGAACAGCAGGACACCUAGAAAAAAGACGCUAAUGUGGAAAGGAAAAUAACAUGCUCAAAGUCAGUGAUGAGAGCAACUGAUUUCAGCAAAAGGUGCUUAGUUUUUCCCACAUCAAAGUAUCGUUACUACUAAGUUUCCUUGUUACAGCUGAAGUUCCCAACAGAACCAAGAAAAAUUUAAGCCCAUUAUUAAGACCAAAUGUACUUCAGUGAUGGCAGAGCCAUCAUUAAACUAGCUAUCUUACCAGGGGAGGAGAACAAGCCCCAGACUCUGACCCACAGGAGACAAAAAUAACUCACAUGCCCGGGAGUACUUUGAGAAUAAUAUCACACUUGUCAAAGUGGGUCUAAUGAUGUCAGUCAUCUUUUUCUACCUUGCAUUUCUUCAUUGCAGCUUACACUGACAAAUGAUACCAUUCCUAUGUCCACAGUUUUCUUUGAUUAAAAACCCACAGAGACCACAAUACUAAUAUGACCACUAAGGCUGAGGCUUGAAUGAAGGUUUUAUUCUCCAGAAUCUGUUCAAUAAACCAAUUUGAUUUUUAUAACAAAAAAUGUGAUACAUAAUUUGCUCCCCCAUUCAGUAGAGAUUCUGGACAAUGGCAUCACAGAAUAUUGGAGCUAGAAAGAAACUUAAAGAUUACUUUCAUGUUAUUUUACUGAUGAGAAAACAGAUGCCCAAAGAGGAAAAAUAAU